UACGAAGGGGGCUAGCGUUGCUCGGAAUCACUGGGCGUAAAGAGCUCGUAGGCGGUUCGGUAAGUCGGGUGUGAAACCUCCAGGCUCAACCUGGAGACGCCACCCGAUACUGCUGUGACUGGAGUCCGGUAGGGGAGCGUGGAAUUCCUGGUGUAGCGGUGAAAUGCGCAGAUAUCAGGAGGAACACCAGCGGCGAAGGCGGCGCUCUGGGCCGGUACUGACGCUGAGGAGCGAAAGCGUGGGUAGCAAACAGG
rnacentral:rRNA from 1 species